rnacentral:tRNA from 1 species
UAGCUCAGUUGUUAGAGCAUGGCGCUUGCAACACCAGGGUUGUGGGUUCCAUUCCCAC